GACGAACGCUGGCGGCGUGCUUAACACAUGCAAGUCGAACGGUGAAGCCCUUCGGGGUGGAUCAGUGGCGAACGGGUGAGUAACACGUGAGCAACCUGCCCCUGGCUCUGGGACAACCACUGGAAACGGUGGCUAAUACCGGAUACGACCCGCCUCGGCAUCGAGUGUGGGUGGAAAGGUUUUCGGCUGGGGAUGGGCUCGCGGGCUAUCAGCUUGUUGGUGAGGUGAAGGCUCACCAAGGCGACGACGGGUAGCCGGCCUGAGAGGGCGACCGGCCACAAUGGGACUGAGACACGGCCCAGACUCCUAUGGGAGGCAGCAGUGGGGAAUAUUGCACAAUGGGCGCAAGCCUGAUGCAGCGACGCCGCGUGAGGGAUGACGGCCUUCGGGUUGUAAACCUCUUUCAGCUCCGAAGAAGCGAAAGUGACGGUAGGAGCAGAAGAAGCACCGGCUAACUACGUG
rnacentral:rRNA from 1 species